CAGUCGCCGCGGGAAUACGAAGGGUGCAAGCGUUACUCGGAAUUACUGGGCGUAAAGCGUGCGUAGGUGGUGGUUUAAGUCCGUUGUGAAAGCCCUGGGCUCAACCUGGGAAUUGCAGUGGAUACUGGGUCACUAGAGUGUGGUAGAGGAUAGUGGAAUUUCCGGUGUAGCAGUGAAAUGCGUAGAGAUCGGAAGGAACAUCUGUGGCGAAGGCGACUAUCUGGGCCAACACUGACACUGAGGCACGAAAGCGUGAGGAGCAAACAGGAUUAGAUACCCCUGUAGUCCCUGUCUCUUAUAC
rnacentral:rRNA from 1 species